ensembl:snRNA U7 U7 small nuclear RNA
UAGUGUUAUAGCUUUUUCAGAAUUUGUCUAGCAAAUUUUCUGGUCUCCACUGGAAUACCCCU